ACAAAAGCAGAGACGGAAAAGAGUAGUCUUUUGGAGUCAUCCAGAGAGAAAAACAUUUGGUGGAAGUUUUUUGUGACAGAAAGAAGAUGAAAACCAUUCCUGAGCUGCGGUGCCGAAACGACAGUAAGCAUUGCCGUAUUCCUGCGUUAAGGGAUAGGAUUUGAGAGAGUCUGAAGUGAAAAGUUAAGGUGGGACCGUGCAGCGUUAGAUGCACCCUUAAA
rnacentral:ncRNA from 1 species